UACGUAGGGCGCAAGCGUUGUCCGGAAUUAUUGGGCGUAAGGAGCUCGUAGGUGGCUUGUCGCAUCUGCCGUGAAAGCCCAUGGCUUAACUAUGGGUCUGCGGUGGAUACGGGCAGGCUAGAGGCUGGUAGGGGCAAGCGGAAUUCCUGGUGUAGCGGUGAAAUGCGCAGAUAUCAGGAGGAACACCGGUGGCGAAGGCGGCUUGCUGGGCCAGUUCUGACGCUGAGGAGCGAAAGCGUGGGGAGCGAACAGG
rnacentral:rRNA from 1 species